GUUAAUAUUUGGCUUUUAGCCAAAUCUGAGCAUCAGAAGACAUUUUGGUCUGCUUGGUGCAUGAUCUCUAUAGUUCUGAGA
rnacentral:snoRNA from 1 species